rnacentral:rRNA from 1 species
UACAGAGGUCUCAAGCGUUGUUCGGAUUCAUUGGGCGUAAAGGGUGCGUAGGCGGCGCGGUAAGUCGGGUGUGAAAUCUUGGAGCUUAACUCCGAAACUGCAUUCGAUACUGCCGUGCUUGAGGGACUGGAGAGGAGACUGGAAUUUACGGUGUAGCGGUGAAAUGCGUAGAUAUCGUAAGGAAGACCAGUGGCGAAGGCGGGUCUCUGGACAGUUCCUGACGCUGAGGCACGAAGGCCAGGGGGAGCAAAACGGGG